AGAGUUUGAUCCUGGCUCAGAAUGAACGCUGGCGGCGUGCUUAACACAUGCAAGUCGCACGAGAACACCGAACUUCGGUUUGGUAAGUAAAGUGGCGCACGGGUGAGUAACACGUGGGUAAUCUACCCUUGAAUUUGGGAUAACAUUGCGAAAGCGAUGCUAAUACCGGAUGAAGUCGUAUUUACUUAGGUAGGUAUGAUGAAAGAUGGCCUCUACAUGUAAGCUAUUGUUUGAGGAUGAGCCCGCGUACCAUUAUCUAGUUGGUGGGGUAACGGCUUACCAAGGCAUCGAUGGUUAGCUGGUCUGAGAGGAUGAUCAGCCACACCGGAACUGACACACGGUCCGGACUCCUACGGGAGGCAGCAGUGAGGAAUUUUGCGCAAUGGGGGAAACCCUGACGCAGCAACGCCGCGUGAGUGAUGAAGGCCUUCGGGUCGUAAAGCUCUGUCAAGUGGGAAGAACCCUGUGUAUAAUAAAAUGUACAUGGCUGACGGUACCACUGAAGGAAGCACCGGCUAACUCCGUGCCAGCAGCCGCGGUAAUACGGAGGGUGCAAGCGUUAUUCGGAAUUAUUGGGCGUAAAGAGCGCGUAGGCGGUUUUUUAAGUCAGAUGUGAAAUCCCGGGGCUUAACCCCGGAAGAGCAUUUGAUACUAUUGAACUUGAGUAUGUGAGGUAUUCUUUGGGGAGCGGUAAAAUGUUAUAAUCCUUAGAGGACCACCUGUGGCGAAGGCGUCACACUAGAACGGAUCCGACAAUGAGGGACGAAAGCCAGGGGAGCGAUCCGGAUUAGAUACCCGAGUAGUCCUGGCCGUAAACGCUGCGAGCUAGGUGUUGCACACUCCUCGAGAAUGUGCAGUAUCGAAGCGAAGGUGAUAAGCUCGCCGCCUGGGGAGUACGGUCGCAAGGCUGAAACUUAAAGGAAUUGGCGGGGGAGCACAACAAGGGGUGCGGCGUGCGGUUUAAUUGAACUCAACGCCGGGAAUCUCACCAGCAGCGACGGCAGAAUGAAGGUCAGAUUGAAGGUCUUACCUAACAAGCCGAGAGGUGGUGCAUGGCCGUCGUCAGCUCGUGCCGUAAGGUGUCCUGCUAAGUCAGGUAACGAGCGAGAUCUGUACCCACAAUUGCUAGCCUUUUUUUUGAGGGGGCGCACUGUGUGGGGACUGCCUUCGAAAGGAGGAGGAAGGUGCAGGCUACGAUAGGUCUGUAUGCCCCGAAUCUGCUGGGCUACACGCGCGCAACAAUGGUAAGGACAAUGGGAUGCAACUCCGAAAGGAGAAGCUAAACCUCCAAACCUUAUCUUAGUUCAGAUUGAGGCUUGCAACUCAGCCUCAUGACGACGGAAUCCCUAGUAAUCAGACGUCAUCAUCGUCCGGUGAAUAUGUCCCUGCUCCUUGUACACACCGCCCGUCAAACCACUCGAGUAGGGUUUAGGUGAGGCUCAAUUUUUUUGAUUGGUUCGAAUCUAAGCUUUGCGAGAUGGGUUAAGUCGUCACAAGGUAGCCGUAGGGGA
rnacentral:rRNA from 1 species